UACGUAGGGUGCGAGCGUUAAUCGGAAUUACUGGGCGUAAAGCGUUCGCAGGCGGUUCGUUGUGUCGGUGGUGAAAGCCCCGGGCUUAACCUGGGAAUGGCCAUGGAAACUGGCGAACUGGAGUGUGGCAGAGGGGGGUGGAAUUCCGCGUGUAGCAGUGAAAUGCGUGGAGAUGCGGAGGAACACCGAUGGCGAAGGCAGCCCCCUGGGCUAGCACUGACGCUCAGGCACGAAAGCGUGGGGAGCAAACAGG
rnacentral:rRNA from 1 species